GGCUAGUCCGAGUGUGGUGGUGAUUACAACUGAUUGAUCACAACCAGUUACAGAUACCUUUGUUCCUUCUUCACUCUCACCACUUCAUUUGACUAGUCUUAA
ensembl:misc_RNA Y_RNA Y RNA